rnacentral:rRNA from 1 species
GACGAACGCUGGCGGCGUGCUUAACACAUGCAAGUCGAACGGAAAGGCCCUGCUUUUGUGGGGUGCUCGAGUGGCGAACGGGUGAGUAACACGUGAGUAACCUGCCCUUGACUUUGGGAUAACUUCAGGAAACUGGGGCUAAUAUCGGAUAUGAGCUCCUGCUGCAUGGUGGGGGUUGGAAAGUUUCGGCGGUUGGGGAUGGACUCGCGGCUUAUCAGCUUGUUGGUGGGGUAGUGGCUUACCAAGGCUUUGACGGGUAGCCGGCCUGAGAGGGUGACCGGCCACAAUGGGACUGAGAUAGGGCCCAGACGCCUACGGGAGGCAGCAGUGGGGAAUAUUGCACAAUGGGCGGAAGCCUGAUGCAGCAACGCCGCGUGCGGGAUGACGGCCUUCGGGUUGUAAACCGAUUUCGCCGGUGACGAAGCGUGAGUGACGGUAAUGGGUAAAGAAGCACCGGCUAACUACGUG